UUUGCUCUCGCAGCCUUUUGGCUAAGAUCAAGUGUAUUAUCUGUUCUUAUCAGUUUAAUCUUUACUAUGGACAAAUAUUAAUAAUCUUUGGCUCCUCUUAAACUCUGUAGUCAUAAUACAGGUGCUACAAUACUACUUUUUGGUGAAUUACCA
rnacentral:snRNA from 1 species